rnacentral:tRNA from 1 species
GUAGUUCAGCUGGAGAGAGCGCUGCCCUCCGAAGGAAGAGGCCAGAGAUUUCAAUUUUCUCGUGAGCGCCA